GACAGGUGUUUGCGGGUUUCCUAUAAACGACGGCGCUUUGUUGAAGAACGACGCUCGAAGAAAAUUUAAUUAAUUUGAGAAGUCAGAUAAUAAUCGUGAAGAUUUCAACACUGCCAAAGGUCACCCAACUGAAAUCCGCUGCGGUAGCAAGGUUCCCUUUGAAAUCAUCUGAACUGGAACUCUUGAGUUUGCGUGUAUUCCAUCGAAAAUUUUGAACGAAUCGAAAUCACAGAACCGUUUCUUUCAGUUGAAAGUGUAGCCAGACUCAGCGCAUGGUUUGAAACUUGUCAUUGUCUCGUCCACCAGUUCGGCUUCAAUGCAUUGACCCGGUUGAAAAAGAAUCCAUUGAAAUCAUUUGAGAAGAAGGAACAUAGUCGCUGGCGUUUCAACACUGUCAAAGGUCGACUAAUUAAAAUAUACUGUGCUAAAGUGGUAAGCUUUCAAAUCCACUGUUGCAAACUUCUCAAGAUUACGUUUAUGGCAUCGAAACGUUUGAUAUUAGAAUUACUGCUAACAUGUACUUGUCACAACGGAAACUUUGGAAAUUUCUCGCUGUCGCGUGCGGCCUUUCAUCGCUCAUGACCAUUUUCUUGUUAAGGCUGUUGUCAAGGUCCUGUAAACAUGAAGAAAACAAGGACGUCCACACAGUAUCAACAGUAGAUAAUGGUCAUCCUCCAUUACAACAUCACGUGGACCGUUCUACUCCUCUUAUUUUCGUCGGUGGCUUUCCGCGAAGUGGGACCACUCUCAUGAGAGCCAUGCUGGAUGCGCAUCCUAAAAUCAGAUGCGGGCAGGAGACAAGGGUGAUACCGAAAAUCCUUGUGGGUAUUCCAAAGAUAUUCAGCCUUUUCAGCGAGCGGGAAAAGCAACGAAGAGAGGAAGCUGGUGUGACUCAAGAGCUGUUGGAUUCCGCAGUGGCCGCGCUCAUAGGAGAAAUCAUUGCUAAACAUGGCGAUCCCGCGCCAAGACUGUGCAACAACGAUCCUUUAACUUUCAGGAAUCUUAGCUAUCUAGCCAGAAUAUUUCCUAAAUCCAAAUUUGUUUUCAUGGUAAGAGACGGACGCGCUGUUGUCCACUCCAUAAUGGAGAGAGGAGUUGUUAUUCGAGGCGUCAACAAUCAUCGUCCAGAAAUUUUAUUGCGAACAUGGAAUGAUGCCACAGGUGAGAUGAACGCUCAGUGCGUAGCUUUAGGUCAUUCAAGGUGUUUGAGAAUUCCUUAUGAACAUCUGGUGCUGUUCCCUGCAGAGAGCAUGGAAAUGGUCCUAGAAUUUUUGGACGUUCCUUGGAAUGACGUGGUGAUCCAUCAUGAAACUAUGAUAGGGAAAUCAGGAGGUGUCAUCCUAUCAAGGUAAAAAGCAGCCAUUGUUUGAUCGGACAAAAACACCGAAUAUUGCAUGCAAUGUGUAGGUCAGUGAAAUCAUGCACGUAGAUGAUUCAGGCAAUCGUGAAAAUCCUCGUUUACAUUUUUUCGAUAUCCUUUUCGACUCUUGCGAUUCUAACCGUGAAAAGUUACUAAUUACGCAAGAAUCAUUGCGCAGGAAGAUUCGACUUUUCCUGAGUUAUGCGAACUCGUUCAGAUCCCGGCUCAUUUUGGUAUCGCGAGAGGGGGUGAGUAGGCAUUCGAAGCCUUCCCAAUGCUGUUAUCUUAAUCAUUGUACGUGCGUACCACUCAAAUUCCUUUCGCGUUUUAGUGACCAAGGGGCCAUUGGACACGAAUCAGAGCUCUCUGGCAGGAGUGUUGCUUGCCAUAGUUUUACUGGAAGACUGAAGCCUUGAAAAGUCAACCGAUCAAGUGAAAGAAGCUGUAAACUUGAAAGCACUGUACAAAUGGUCUGAAAGACUUUCAUCAUCUU